CCAGGCCCUCAUCCGAACUGAGAAGGCUCUCUGCAGCUUGACCUUUGCUGACCUCCAGAUUUUCUGGCAGUCACUGGAACCAGGGAUCAUGUUUGCAGAAAUCUGCUUGGCAUCAUUCCGUGACUUAUCUUUCAGGCCUCAUCACAAUUAUUCAUGCUUUGGCAGUAUCCUAGCUACAGUCACAGUCCUCCUCGUGGGCUAAUAUUGAAGGUUACUCUGUCCCAGCCAGUGGAGAAGGAAGGGGCCUCUCUCCUCAGGAUGGUGACUCCUGGGGGGAUGCACCCCCUGAGAGCACCAGCCCAAAGCCACUUCCAAUCUCCAGCCGUCUGGGCAGGCUAACACAGAACAGGAAUUGGUCCCCAAAUCAGGAACAAUUUGGCUUCUGAAUGCAUUCCAAUGCACACUCACUAUACACUUGGGACAUAUGUUCACACACACUCAAAUGCUAAACCCUCAGGCUGCCUCUCGACUCUAUAAAGACACAAUCUUUUACCUCUCCAUUACCCAUGGCAAAUAUUUUCUGCUUUUGCCUUUUUCUCUCUCUCUUUUUAACAUCCUGCUUCUACUCUGUGGCCCAUGCUUCCUGCUUUGUAUAUUUUAGGUUACUUUAGACAUGACCUCACAUCCUGGCCAAUUGCACAGUAGCUUCUAAUUGUGAGAGCUCUGCUAACGGACGGUACAUUUAUGCAGGGCAGGGGGCGGCGGGGGGCGGGGUGGAAUAGGUUAUAAGCAGCAGAAUACUGCAGGCAAUAAUCUAGCACAGGUUCAAGCUGGGGCCCUGAGGUUAGACAGACUUGGUUUAAUCUCAAACUAUCUGUGUGGCCUAGGGCAACUUGCUUAACCUCUCUGGGCCUGUUAUCCCAUUCCAGUGUUGAUCAUAAUAGCUCCUACCUCACAAGGUUGUUUCUAAGAUUAAUAGUGAAUAAAGCCUACAAAUGACUUAGCACAAUCAAGCUAUUAUCGUGAUUACUCUUUAGGCUUCCAAAUGAUGGAAGGACCUUCAGGUCUAGUGUAUACCCAUAGCUGAGAUCUUGCAAAGCUCUUCUGCUCCACCUCCACACCCCCAUCACUUCCUCCAGGAAGUAUUCUUUGGUUGAGUAGAAUCCACACAACAAUGCGUUUGCACUGUUUCUCACUGUUUGUGCCUUUCAGGUGUUUCAUACAGAAGCUGACACACUAAGCUUCUCCAAGAUCAAGAAGCCCUUCUUUUCAACUCCUUCAGUAGAUCUCCAGUAGAACAUACCUGGAGAGCACAAUUCCCAGUACCUGGCUGGACUCUCAGAUCAAAACACAGAGACCACCUUCCAAGCCAGGAUUUCGAUGCUCAGGUACACACAACUUUCUGAUUCAACUGCAAAAUGGCUCUCACUUAUCAAAGGCUUUCUUCUCCAGUGGCAUUAUCAGUGCCCAUCAGGAACAAGCACCCAGAGGCAGGAAGCGCUGACAAGUCUCCUAGACAACGUUCCAAGAUCCAUGCCUUCCUGUGUUGGCAGACGCUCGUCCAUGCUCUACUUAUUUUCCACAUUACUGUAUUUUCUAUAAUCUCUUUGCGGAGCUUUGCCUCGUACGUCCCCACCUCCCUCCAGGCUCCCACAGUGUCGUUUCCUCUCUAGGAUCUGCUUUGGAGAAUCCUCCAUGGCCGGUACAGAACCCCUGUAUUUGCUCCAUUCUCUGUUCCCCCAGAGCAGCACACAGGUCUUUAGGUUUCCUACUUGUCACUCUGAUUUUCCAGCCCAUGCAGAAGUGGCCCCCUUGCCAGGCCUUGAGAUUCCCAUGUGGAACUUUCCUGCCCACCUCUAGGAGAAUGUUGCAUGUACUGCUCUACUACAUCACUUCUGCUUCUAUGGGGAACCAGCAGCACUUCGUGUGCAGGGAUCAUCGGUUUAAACUGAGCCGCCGUCAUGUGUUGUGGCAGUUUUAUUUAUGAGCCUGUGUGCUGUAACCCCAUGGCAUAAAUAUUAAAUAAUAAUAUCCCCUGGGUGAAAAAAAAAUCAUUCAUGUCAACUGACAACUUCUUAUGAAAAUAUGAAGUAAACCCAACCACAAAACUUGGUAUUGACUAAUUUUAGAAAUUCAAGUGAAGGAAUGGCUUGCUCAACAGGUAGAUGCAAAGGCAGAAUUACAAUUUGCAUUUUUACACUCUCUUGCUUCAAGAAAUGCAACAUCCAAAAAGUAAAGAGUGUUUAAAAAAACACUCGGGCUGUGUGUCAAUUUUUGGUAGACUCAAAAUCUAAUUUCUACCAGUAUCCCCUAGGCAGUUUUUAGUUUCUGAGAAGAAACUACUCCAAAUAAUGACAAUGUCACAUAAAUGAGAAUUCUGGACAAUGACACUGCUCUUUUUUUUUUCUUUUUUUUAGUAUUCUGUGAAUUUCCUAUUACAUCAGUUUCAUGAUUCAGCAUUUUCCAUUUUAUUUAUUUACAGUAAUAUAUGGCAAGAUAACCCUAGGUUUCUGCAGGAUCCUGGAACAUAAGGUAGGCUGGGCUGUAAAGGUGCCGCCUUCUGUAAAUUGACUAUUGUUUAAGGGAAUUCAAAAACAGGAAAAAGCAAGCCCUGAAAGGAGCUGAGAAAAUUUACCCCACUGUGUUCUGAGGGUACCAAUGACUCUUGUAUUUAAAAUGAGUUGGUUCUGAAAAAUAGGGUACUGCCAUUUAGGUGACUAGUACAACAGAAGCCAGAAAGUGUGCCAAUCGCAAACUGACACGGAUAAGCCAAACACAGUCUCUGAAAUGACAAUGUUCAAGAUGCAGCUAAAGUCACCACUCUGAAGGGGGAAAAGUGAACUGGUGUUUGAUAUAAAUACGCACGGAGUUACUUGAACCCUAGCACCCCAUCAGGAUUUCCGCAGCAUUUACUUUCUGGAUACCGCUCUUUCUACAAAUGAACGAACAGGACCAAGAGGACAAGCAAGCCUGGGAGUGGGGGCAAUGUACAAUUCUGCACUGCCCACUGCCUCGACCCACAUGAUGAGAAAACCGAGGCACAGAGGGCCAGGGUACAAAGUCAGGCCACCUGGGUCCUGAGGGGCACUGUUAACCCCUGUCGAAAAGCAUCAGCCUGAGAAGAAGUUGCUCUUGAAUGCAAACUUUGUGAUUGCCAGAAUCAUCUAACAUGGUUUCUUGCCUAGUUCUCACUUCGGAAUUGGGUGUAUCAGCCAGUACAGGAGCAUUAAUUCUCCGUGUGACUACAGACAGGAACACAAGCAACAUUAACAAAUUACUGCUGAUGGAUAUGCAAAUGGAACAAGGACAAAUAUUAAAACAGCCCUAUCUCACUCUGCGGCUCCCUCAACUUGUCCGAAAUUCAUAGAAAUAAUAUAAUCCUCCUGGAAUGCUUAGCAAUUCAUAUAGGGUGACAGUCUUGAGGAAGCUAAUAAUUAUCCCUUGUUAGCAAGAUCAACUAACAGCAGUCUUUCACUGCAGGGACAGAAAAAUAUUGUGACUUGCUAUGCUAAGUGAAACACAGUAGUGGGAUAAAUUAGGACAUUUAAACUAACAAUAAUAAAGACAUACAGCUAUAGCUCCCUUCUACAUAUAACUGAUAAAACUAACAGAAAAUAGACAUGGCAUUAAUAGAAGAAUGCAUUAUGAAUUGUUGAUUGAGACACAAAGGGACAAAUAUUCUUCCAUCACUAUAUUGUUAUAGCUAAAUAUUUAUUAGACACCCACUGUAUGACUUUUCUCAGAAAUAAGGAUAACAAUAAAUUACUACCUGUCAACCACGUGUACUGUAACUUCAUUAUGUGACGAGGCAGCACUCUUAUUAAGUCUUUGGAAUCUAUUAAAAGUUUCAUUUUGAAAUGAACCAAAAGGAAUAAAUUUAUGAAUUGUAGAUCUCCAAUAUUAACCCAAAGACUCAGCCUUGGACAGAAAAAAAAUUCUUAGGAAAAAAAUUAAUUUCUGCCAAGGAAAAUCUAAGAACAUAAGUUAGCAGGCCCAACCAGAUGCCUCUGGUGGUGCUAUAACAAAGAUGAGUCAAAUAUAUAAUUUCACAGGAAAAAAAUUUAUAGACUAGUCUUUGAAUCAGGCAGCAUCCAAACACCUUCCCUGCCAGGUUCUCCAUCAAAUGUGUGAUAAACAGCAAUGGCCUUACACAUCAAGAUGCCCCUCUGAUCUCUAAUCUGAUCAGUAGCAUGUUUGUCACCUCUGCUGAUGUAUCCAGACAUAACUCACAUGCUCCAUUCAUCAGUUUGGUCUGGUUAGUGGAUCUGGUAGCUUGUUUGCAAAGUUGGUUGCUUCCUGUUGAGCGGUGGAAUCCAAUCCUUUCUGCCAUGAAUCUAGGAAGGCUUUGCCACCACUUUGAUCACAAGAAUACUAUAGAAGUAAUGUUUUGGCAACCUCCAAUCUCGGGCCUUAAGAGGCACUGCAGCAUCUAUUCUGGCUUUCUUAGAACACAGGACUCCUGGUAAGGAAGUCUCUCUUCUGGAGAGAGAAGCCCAGCCAACAGCCAGCCCCACUCACCAGUCUUGUCACGCCACCUUGGAUCAUCUAGUCGCCGCUGUGUCUUCCGUGACAGUUGCUGCCUAGGUGACUCCAGAAACGAUCAAGCUUAUUGUUUGGAGCUACUAAUCCUCAGAACCAUGAACAAGUAAUUCUCAUUUGAACCACAUGAAUUUGCAGGAGUUUGUUACACGGCAGCAGGGAAGGAGAAAAUGAACAGGGUGAUUGACACUGAAGAAUUCUGUCCAGUGCUUUAAGAGUGCGAUUCCGCUCUAACCCCUUCUAUGGAACACUGGCCUCUAGGACUGUGUUAAAUUCACAAAGCUAAGAAAUUUCUUCUCACUUCUUCCCCGUCACCUCUCAAAGCAAUUCACACUGAGACUGAACGUUCCACCUUCCUUUGAUGAUAAAAAUGAGAGACUCCGGAAUGUUUAUUCAAGGGGGACUGAGUUUUCUGAGCAUGAGAUGUGUUCAGAGGCAACUUCUGGUUCCCUCCUCUGCCCGGAUGAGCUCUGCUCAGCUGUGGCACCAUUGCCAAGGCCUGGGGCCAGCGUGACUGGGGCCACUGGCUGCUGUACUAGUCAGGAAUCUCAGAGAAAUAACCAACGGGCUGUACAGUCACCCUUUGAUAUCUGGGUGUUGCUUCUGGACCCAAGAGGAAUGUAAAAGCUUCCAGAUGCCCAAGUCCCAUAUAUAAGAUGGCAUAGUAUUUUCAUAUAACCUAUGUGUAUCUUCCUUUAUACUUUAAAUAAUCUCUAAAUUGCUCAUACUGCCUAGUACAAUGUAAAUGCUUUGUAAAUCAUUGCUCUACUGUAUUACUUAUGGAAUGAGGACAAGAGAAGUCUGUACAUGUUUGUUAGA